CAGUCGGGCCCGUACGGCAGGAACUUGUAAACUCCGCCAGGCCCGGAAGGGAGCAACGGUAGCAAGAACUCCAGCGCGUUGCGGAUACCUGACUGGUU
rnacentral:SRP_RNA from 1 species